rnacentral:rRNA from 1 species
CAGCCGCCACGGUAAUACGUAGGUGGCAAGCGUUGUCCGGAUUUAUUGGGCGUAAAGCGAGCGCAGGCGGUUUCUUAAGUCUGAUGUGAAAGCCCCCGGCUCAACCGGGGAGGGUCAUUGGAAACUGGGAGACUUGAGUGCAGAAGAGGAGAGUGGAAUUCCAUGUGUAGCGGUGAAAUGCGUAGAUAUAUGGAGGAACACCAGUGGCGAAGGCGGCUCUCUGGUCUGUAACUGACGCUGAGGCUCGAAAGCGUGGGGAGCAAACAGGAUUAGAUACCCCGGUAGUCCCUGUCUCUUAUAC